AUGGCUUUAGUACGUGAUCUUUGGUUGCCAAGUAGCUUGGGCACGAUGACAUUGCCAAUUUGGCCAUCUAUUGAGGCCGAAAAUUUUGAGUUGAGGCCUGGACUUAUUGCUCUCGUCUUGCAGAAUCAGUUUAGAGGAUUACCCAAUGAAGACCCUCAUGAGCACAUUUGUAAUGUCCUGGAGUAUGCCUAUACUGUCCAGUACCAUGGCGUUUCCCAAGAUGCUAUCAAGUGUAUGUUGUUCACAUUCUCUCUCAGAGAUGCUGCUAAGGACUGGUACUAUUCUUUGUCAUCAAUAUCAUACACUUGGGGUGAUAUUUCGCAAGCUUUCCUGCACAGAUAUUUUCCACUUUACAAGGAAGCUACAAUUCGUGACCAGAUCCUCAGUUUUGCGCAAGAUGGAAGUGAGAGCUUGUAUGCAGCUUGGGAGAGAUAUAAGUAUUUGCUUAGAAAAUGUCCUAAUCAUGGGCAAAAGGAUUGGUUAGUGCUCCAGAUAUUCUAUAGAGGGCUGACACAUGCUUCGAGAGAUCUUAUUGAUAUGUCCGCUGGUGGAACAAUCAUGAACAAGACCGUUGAGGGUGCAAUUAUUCUCAUUGAGAGCAUUGCCUUCCACCAAAUGCAAUGGGGUUAUGAAAGGCCCAGUUCAAAUCCAAAGGUUGCAAGCCAUCUGCAAUCAGAAGCUGUGUGUUCCAUAAGUGAAAAUAAAUCAUCGAUGGUGCCUAAUAUUCAAAACCAGCAUGUUUCAUUCCGGGGACAACAACAUUUCAGAGCUGAAUUAGAUCCUCCAUGUAGAAAGAUUGAUCUUACUUCAAGUAUCCUUGAUGAUGAUUAUGACAUUUUUCAAGAUGAUGCAACCAUUGUAGAUCAGAUGGAAACCACAGUAGCAGAUCCAAUACCUCGAUGCAAUAAAACUAACCAGACUGAGUCAAAGUUGCAAGAAGAUGUUUAUGAGGAACCUACUCUGAUUGAUGCUCAGUUGAGACAACAAGAUAUGGAGAAAUUCACUUGUGUUAGUCAACUAUGUGACUGGUGGAAUUUAGUCGUGGCACCAAUUGCCCACACUUUUGUUACAACUGUAUCUGGGAAAUUUGUCAAGAAGAAAUCAUUAGCUCCACCGGUGGUUGCCUCUAUCUCAGUUAAAGAGAGUAUCUUAGAGAAGAAUAGUGAAGAUGAUAUUCCAACUCCUGCACAUACAUCUAAGCAAGUCAGAGACAUUCCAAGGAGAGAGAUACAAGAGGUUGAGUCAAAUUUAGAAGAGUUGAUACUUCAAUAUCCUGAGAAGAUCCCACGUGUUGCUGAGCUGCAUGACUGGUGGAAGUCAUCAGUGUCAUUGUUGAAACUUAGCAGUGAUGGUGAUGAGGAGAAUAUUUCUCAGAAAGACAGCGAGGUAGUGAUCUCAGCACCCCUACCAGAUCAUGUUAGUGCAUAUUCACAGAUGGGGACACUUCAGACUCAAUUAGGUGUUGCUGGUAGUAGCACCAUAGAAGAUCCAGAGGAAGAGAGAUCUCAACUUGAAGAUGAAAUACUCGAAGAUGAGGAACAAGAUGAUCCAGAGCUCGAACAACCAAGUGAUCAAGUUGAAGAUUCAUCAUCUACUACUCUUGAAGAAGCAAAAUAA
rnacentral:rRNA from 1 species